rnacentral:rRNA from 1 species
UCCUACGGGAGGCAGCAGUGGGGAAUAUUGGACAAUGGGGGAAACCCUGAUCCAGCGACGCCGCGUGAGUGAAGAAGUAUUUCGGUAUGUAAAGCUCUAUCAGCAGGGAAGAAAAUGACGGUACCUGACUAAGAAGCCCCGGCUAACUACGUGCCAGCAGCCGCGGUAAUACGUAGGGGGCAAGCGUUAUCCGGAUUUACUGGGUGUAAAGGGAGCGUAGACGGCAUAGCAAGUCUGAUGUGAAAGAUCGGGGCUCAACCCCCGGACUGCUCUGGAAACUGUAUGGCUGGAGUGCAGGAGAGGUA